AAGUCGUAACAAGGUUUCCGUAGGUGAACCUGCGGAAGGAUCAUUAUCAUCCUAAAUAAACAUUUAAAAUUUUUUUAACGAAAAUUUUUAAUGUUUAUACCAUAAACCAAUCGUGAACCGUUUUUGCCUCCAAUGAGGCAAGAAAGAAAGAGCUUUCAGCGAGUGUAUUUUUGGUCUUUUUCUAACAAGACAAAAAAAUGCCAUGGAAUUAGGAAAAUUUUCCUUUUUUCACGUUGUUCUCUUUUUUUUCCUCAUUGGUUGUAUUUUCAUUUUUUAUUUACCUUUAGAACAACUCAUUUCAUAUAAAUUAUGAACUGAAUUAAUUUUUUUUUAUUUCAAUCCCAUUAAAUGGUUUUUGAAAUUAAAAAAAAAGAUAAAAUUCUAAUGAAAAAUAAGAGAAACAACUCUUAGCAACGGAUAUCUUGGUUCUC
rnacentral:misc_RNA from 1 species